GUGGGUAGUUUGACUGGGGCGGUCUCCUCCUAAAGAGUAACGGAGGAGCACGAAGGUUGGCUAAUCCUGGUCGGACAUCAGGAGGUUAGUGCAAUGGCAUAAGCCAGCUUGACUGCGAGCGUGACGGCGCGAGCAGGUGCGAAAGCAGGUCAUAGUGAUCCGGUGGUUCUGAAUGGAAGGGCCAUCGCUCAACGGAUAAAAGGUACUCCGGGGAUAACAGGCUGAUACCGCCCAAGAGUUCAUAUCGACGGCGGUGUUUGGCACCUCGAUGUCGGCUCAUCACAUCCUGGGGCUGAAGUAGGUCCCAAGGGUAUGGCUGUUCGCCAUUUAAAGUGGUACGCGAGCUGGGUUUAGAACGUCGUGAGACAGUUCGGUCCCUAUCUGCCGUGGGCGCUGGAGAACUGAGGGGGGCUGCUCCUAGUACGAGAGGACCGGAGUGGACGCAUCACUGGUGUUCGGGUUGUCAUGCCAAUGGCACUGCCCGGUAGCUAAAUGCGGAAGAGAUAAGUGCUGAAAGCAUCUAAGCACGAAACUUGCCCCGAGAUGAGUUCUCCCUGAGACUUAGAGUCUCCUGAAGGAACGUUGAAGACGACGACGUUGAUAGGCCGGGUGUGUAAGCGCAGCGAUGCGUUGAGCUAACCGGUACUAAUGAAC
rnacentral:rRNA from 2 species